AGCUUUGCGCAGUGGCAGUAUCGUAGCCAAUGAGGUUUAUCCGAGGCGCGAUUAUUGCUAAUUAAACCACAUGGCCAUGUGGUCUAAACAAAGUUUAUGGUACAAGUAUUAGAAAUGAUAAAAAGACUAACAGAUUA